rnacentral:lncRNA from 1 species
CCCAGGCCUAUGAUACUGAGCUUAGAAAAAGCUCACACCAACACAUUUAUAAUGAGUAGAAACAUUUCCAACAAUGGUAUCCAACAAUGAUAUUGUAGUAUGUAGUAGGCAAUCAUAUCAAAACAGGCAAUCAUAUCAACUAGAGUUUGCAAGAGAGCAUGUGUAACAUCUCUCUUUAUGUUGUCUGUCUUAUGAUUAUAAGAAUGGAAGUCGGGGCAUGUGAUAUCAUUUGAACUUUACUGAAACCAUUGCAGGGAUCCAUACAUUGUUGUUCACUAGCUCAGUAGCUCAACUAGUGCAUGAGUAAAACAUGAAAUGGAAUACUGAGUGUGUCAGUCAUCAACAUAAUGAAAAUGUGGAGUUGAAAAACAGUAAUGUCCACUACAUUAAACUACAGCAUGCAAGGAGUGAGUAGACAAGACAGAUAUUGUAUGUUUGCACAAUGCAAGAUCAACAGUCCACAUGUAAUGUAUGGCUUGAAAAUAGAUUGCAGCUUGCCGUUAUUAAAUGUACUGACAACAUCCUGUCUACGUGUGUGGUCUGGUACACGGCUUCUGCUUUAGGCCCUUCAGUUGCUGCGUCUGAGAACAAAAACCACAGAAAACGUCAGGUCCACAUCCUUCAUUGUGACUUGACAUGUAGAUGGAAGCUAUGUGUGGAGAGACCCCAAGUCUUAUUUAUAUUCCUGUGUUCAUCAUUAUACAUUUUAACUUCAGUGCUUCUCUGUAAACAGCAUUGCGUGUGAAAUACUGUGAGACAGAGCUCAUGGCUAAAUAUAGGAAUGUGACUGAAUAGGUCUACAUCUGGACAUGUUUUCUAUACAAACAGCCUCUUACACCUCUCAUGAUCAGAAAUAACAUCCCCAACAGAGAAACUUAAAACUUACUACUUGACUUUCAUGAAAAUCCCCAAACUAUACCAAAGUUCCCUGUGUCCCAUAUUUCAAGACAUUGAACUCACCAUGUUUGGACAGAAGUAACUAACAGCCACUACAGUCAGUAGAAGUAUGACCACAACAGCUGAAUUUAUCAAUCGGAUAACAUUGACAAGUCUCACAUCAUGUGCAGCCUCUGAAAUACAGAGUGGAUGGAUGAAUUCACAUUUUUUGUCAAUUUAUUUGGUCUCUUAACCUCUUCCUUUCAUAUAGUGAUUAUAAAUAAAAGAAAAGUGUUUACAAAAGUUUUAUGCUAUACAUUCUCACCAUUAACCUGAAGAAAGGCUGAAUUAUUUCCAUAUAAUUUCCUGUCUGUAUUAUCCAGGGGUUUUGAUUGCAGAUCAAGCACACAACUGUAGUUGCCUGUGUCAUUGUUAAUAACACUUUUAAUUGUAAAAGUUGCCUCCAUCAGAUUCACAUCAAACUCCUUCAUCUGAACAGCAGUGCCGUUCUUGCAGAGUGCUUGAGCCUGAAAGUGAUAUGUCUGCAGGGAGAAUCCGGUCUGCAUGAGGUGAAAAAAGAGAGGAAUAGGAAAGGUGUGUUUGUAGUCACAUUGAAAUAUGUGUAUCAAAAAUAUUUGCAAGUAUUUUGUAGCAGCCGUUUUGGCCUGUUUAUGUGUUGUGUGUAUGUUCAGGUCUUCCCUGUGGCUCAGUUGGUAGAGCAUGGUGUUUGCAAUGCCAGCAUGGUGUGUGCAACGCCAGGGUUGUGGGUUCGAUUCCCAAGGGGGCCAGUACAAAAAAAAAAAAAAUGUAUGAAAUGUAUGCAUUCACUACUGUAAGUCGCUCUGGAUAAGAGCGUCUGCUAAAUGACUAAAAUGUUCUGUCAAGGAAUAUUUCUACUUGUUUUGUACACUAGAGGGCACUAUAUGUUGGGGCCAUGGGUCACAGGUCACAUGUGCAUAUAGGUGACCAGGAAGGGUUAACACAGGUGAGAGGAGAGAACAUACAGUUGUUACCAUAUCACAGAUAUAGCUUAAAGAAUGCAUGCCUCUGCAACUUUUCUAUAGGAAUAUGAGUUUUGGAUCUAUUUAUAUUUUAUAUGUGCAAUAAAUGGG